UGGCCGUGACCUUCCCACGUCCCCCUCAGUUCCGCCACUGGUUAUUGUGCAAUUGAUUUGCGCCGCAGAAGAUGAAUUUGGGAUGUGAGGUGAAAUAGAAGAUGAAGAUGAAGCAGUAAGAUGAUGAAGGUGAGCCAAGAAGAUGAAGAUGAGUGAAGAGUGAAGAAUGAAGAAUAAAGAAUGAAGAAGAACCCCCAAAAUGAAGAUAGAAUCAAGAGGUAAAUAUAUAUGAUUCUCUUUUUCUGUUACGAUUCGGUUACAAAUGAAACUCAAACUCAAGUGAAAUUAGAAUCAAAUUGAUAGUUAGUUAGGAAUGAAAGUGAAAUGAAUUUCUCAAUGAAAGUGAACUUGAAAUUAGGUUUAAUUUCUGUUUGAGUUAGGUGAUUCUGUUAGGCCUUUCACAGUUGGUUGAAGUUAUGGUUAAGUUAGUUGCAAUUGUGAAAUCCAAAUGACAUUCUUCUCAAAUUCAUAAAUCAGUUAGAAAUUCACAUUCUGUUAAUCUUUUUUCAAGUUUAAUUAACUGUUACUAUGUGGAUUUGUUAUAUUAAUGUGUUAAUGGUUAGUUAUUAUAAGGAUACGGUUAGUUGUUAUCAUCGGUAUUGGAUUCAGUUAGAACUAAGCUUCUGUUAUGUUAGUUUUUAGUCAUCAUGUUCUGUUAGUUAUAGGUUAGAGAAAAUUAGUAAAGUUAAAACUUUGGGAGUUAAGUUCUGUUAGCUUUUUGUUAAGUCAAUAAAUGCUAGUUUGCUGUUAGUGAUAGUUUCCAAUCCAAAUGAAAAAUGAAGUUUAGAAAUCUUUUGGAUUGAAACUGAUAUUAUCUUUUAUUUAUUGAUUUUUUAUGCCCGGCUGUGUUAGUCAUGGUGGUCUGAGGAUAAAUUGGAAAUAAGUACUGAGGUCUGAAUGGGAUGGCGAUGUCGGUAAAUUUGAUGAUUCUGCCACUGCAGGGACUUGCUCCAGGGUAAUUAUGCAGGAUGCACCUUAAGGGUAAGUUUCAAACUUGUUGAAUUAGUUCAUGUCAUGGAUCAUUUUGUUUGAGUUAAUUGGAAGUUUUGUUGAGUUAGUAAUUAGGGAAAUAUUAGGAAUCUAUUAGGGAGAUAAUUGGAUAUGCUAUUGAAAUGAAAAAUGUCGUUGAUUUCCAUCCUGUUAAUUCUGUUUGUUAGUAAUUGAAUUAGAUUGAAAUGGCUUAGGUUUGCUAAAUGGAAGUUAUGGACUUCUGUUUCAGUUACCGCUGGAAAAAUUCAAAGUCAGUUUCAGAAAUUGUUAUGGUGUGUUAUGAAUUGUUGAAUGUUGUAGGAAUGUUUUCAUGAAUUCUAAAAUGUGAAUUUUGUUGGUGUUUUGAUUUGUUUGAUUAAUUAAAACGGAAUAUUAACGGUAAUUGAGUUUGGAAAAUGAGUUUCGAAUGGCUACUGUGAGUUGUUAUGUUAAAAUAUUAAUGCACAUGAUCACUGUUUUAUGCUUGAUAUGAAUAUGUGCUUAUGACGGUUGAAAAGAAUGCAGUUAGGGCUUUGCUAAACUCUUGUUAUCUAUUGUGAAAUAUUGCAGGAAAGCUAGUUUGCCAAUUGACUAACUUAUCUUGCUAACUGUUGAUGUCACAGGAUGGAUGUAUGUUAUGGCUUGGCGAAUCGGUUUAGAUUGGGCUAACACCAAGUCACAAACUUGCAGGAAGUUAGCAGCAAAAGCCUCAUGUUGGGCAACAUGCUUGUUAGGCUGUCAUGACAACAAUCUCGGAUGUGGCUGCCACACGAUCGAAGCUUUGUAGCAUGUUUAAGGCCUUGCUCGAGUUGGACAAGGAUGCAGCAAGGGAUCACCAAGAUGAACGAGGAUUUCUCCAUCAUUUCAAUUAGUGUAAUACAUAACGUGAUGCUUGUAAUUAAACCCUCAUUUGGGUCAAUCAAAUGUAAUACAUCAUAAUAUGAUUAAUUUUAACAUGGUGGAUCCAAACAUAAUUCAAGUGCAAUUAUUGUAUCAUGUAUGAAGUAUUGAUGUGUAUGCAAAGGAUCUCAUGAUUUAGGCCUAGAA
rnacentral:lncRNA from 1 species